UGGGGAAUAUUGCACAAUGGGCGAAAGCCUGAUGCAGCGACGCCGCGUGAGGGAUGACGGCCUUCGGGUUGUAAACCUCUUUCAGUAGGGACGAAGCGCAAGUGACGGUACCUGCAGAAGAAGCACCGGCUAACUACGUGCCAGCAGCCGCGGUAAUACGUAGGGUGCGAGCGUUGUCCGGAAUUACUGGGCGUAAAGAGCUCGUAGGCGGUUUGUCACGUCGUCUGUGAAAUCCUAGGGCUUAAUCCUGGACGUGCAGGCGAUACGGGCUGACUUGAGUACUACAGGGGAGACUGGAAUUUCUGGUGUAGCGGUGGAAUGCACAGAUAUCAGGAAGAGCACCGAUGGCGAAGGCAGGUCUCUGGGUAGUAACUGACGCUGAGGAGCGAAAGCAUGGGUAGCGAACAGG
rnacentral:rRNA from 1 species